ensembl:lncRNA
GAGUUUCUAGUGCCUUUCAGAGCGACUGCGAGGAACACGGCAGUGAAGAGAAGAAAGCAGAGGAGGAAGAGGAAGGAGGACAUGAAGAUGAGGAAGAAGACGAGGAAGAAGAGGGUGAUGGAGAGAGCGAGGAUGGAGAACACAAGGAAGGAGGAGAUGAGGAGGAUGAAGAUGGCAGUGAGGAAGGAGACAGUGAUGAAAGUGCCGGAGCUGAUGAAGAGAGUGAAGAUGAGGAGAACAACGGAGAGGAAGAACAACCAUCUGGGAAGAUUUCCUUGGAUCUGACAGACGAUGUGACAUCAUGAUGGGUGGAGCUCUCGCCGGUGGACAUCAUGAACACUGUGAAGAUGAUCAUGAUCGCCGAUCCCGGAGUCAGAGAAGAAAAUUAAAGCAAAUUCAUAUUUAACUUACAUGCAAAUGAAGAUUUAAGAAAUAAUUCAUUUUCGCAUCGUCAGCCUAAAGGAACCUAAUGAAUCAGAUCAGAACACAAAACCACAUCAACGUG